UCAUUCAAGUCCAGAUAGCAGAUGUGGUGGUGCGACUGAAGACGAGCGUCUGAAUCAGCUAAAUACUUGCACGGGUGAAAGCUUUCACAAAAUCCAGCUUUGCUUUUCUCCAGUGUAAAAGCAUCCGACGCCUCGACGUAUUUUAAGAAGCAACAGGCGUACACAUGCAGCAGAUGGGUUAACAUGCCCUGUAGAGGAUUUGGGUGAAGAACAGCCCCAGUAGCUCGGCCUCUCAAGAGGAGGGGUGAAUGGGAUUUUUCCCAGGGAGGAGCGGCUCUGUGUGGCCCUGGCACGCUCACUCUUGAGCUGGAUCUCAACUCUGCUCCUGCUGGAGGGAAUGCAAAAACAUUUAACUACUGGAGGCCUUAAUUCAUCUGAAAAUCAAUUUCCUAAAUGUUUUAGCAUUAUUAUUAUUAUAAAUGAUAUAUCAGCUUCAUGUUUGGAAUAUUGGCACAUCUAAAAUUAUUAUUGCAUGUAUCACCACUUGAAGCAAAUCGGCCAAGCGGUUUAAAAAUCAAAUUGGUAUUGUUCACUUAUACAUUUCUAUAAUACACAGUCUUGAUUUGGGCAAAAUAAGUUUAUGGAUAUGUUAUUUAUCAAUUAUCAAUUAAGGUAAUAUUUAACAUAACUAGACAAAAACAUAAAAACGGAUCGUUAUUUGAUAUCAUUGACUGAUCUUCAAAAUAAUGUCAGUAAUUGAUUCUAUUGAUGAUGAAGGAUAUAAAAAAGCAACACAUUUUUUUUAAAUAACUUUCACCCAAAUUGUAUGAAAAAGAUUUAGUUUUGUCUGUGCUGUCGUUGUAAAUGAACUAAGUGUGAUACAUUUCAUUAGUCAGUGUUACUGUAAUUUGUUGUAAAAACAUUUUUCCUGAAAGCCAUUUAUGUAAACUGAUGGAAUUUAAGUUCAUAAUACAUUAAAAAGGUUUCAAUCGUCAUCAAAUGUAAUUACUUGAAAAUGAAGAAAGAAAGAAAGAAAGAAAGAAAGAAAG